AUACGGAGGGUGCGAACGUUAAUCGGAAUUACUGGGCGUAAAGCGCUCGUAGGCGGUUUGUUAAGUCGGAUGUGAAAGCCCCGGGCUCAACCUGGGAACUGCAUUCGAUACUGGCAAACUAGAGUAUAGUAGAGGCAAGUGGAAUUCCGGGUGUAGCGGUGAAAUGCGUAGAUAUCCUGAGGAACAUCAGUGGCGAAGGCGACUUGCUGGACUAAUACUGACGCUGAGGAGCGAAAGCGUGGGGAGCAAACGGGAUUAGAAACCCCGGUAGUCC
rnacentral:rRNA from 1 species